rnacentral:rRNA from 1 species
AGUGAACGCUGGCGGUAGGCCUAACACAUGCAAGUCGAACGGCAGCACAGUAAGAGCUUGCUCUUACGGGUGGCGAGUGGCGGACGGGUGAGGAAUACAUCGGAAUCUACUUUUUCGUGGGGGAUAACGUAGGGAAACUUACGCUAAUACCGCAUACGACCUACGGGUGAAAGCAGGGGAUCUUCGGACCUUGCGCGAUUGAAUGAGCGGAUGUCGGAUUAGCUAGUUGGCGGGGUAAAGGCCCACCAAGGCGACGAUCCGUAGCUGGUCUGAGAGGAUGAUCAGCCACACUGGAACUGAGACACGGUCCAGACUCCUACGGGAGGCAGCAGUGGGGAAUAUUGGACAAUGGGCGCAAGCCUGAUCCAGCCAGACCGCGUGGGUGAAGAAGGCCUUCGGGUUGUAAAGCCCUUUUGUUGGGAAAGAAAAGCAGCAGGUUAAUACCCCGCUGUUCUGACGGUACCCAAAGAAUAAGCACCGGCUAACUUCGUG